GGGCUUAUCUCCAACAAUAGGACAGUAUCUCUAACACUGUUUAGAGUAAAAACAGAAGGUGGAGCAAGAAGUCAGGGUGUCUAACGUGGUCAUUAAGCCUGCGGCUUGGCUGAGAUCUAACCAAGCUCUGCAGAGUGCGAAGAACAAUGUCCGCAGGGUUCCCGGUUCAGACGGGGACUCGAUUCUCCGCCUCCGCUGGCGCCCGGGCACCGUCUCCCAGCGAUGCUCGCUCACUCGUCUUGUUGCCCUGCUGCGGGAGGACCCGCCGGUCGGGCGCCGCCAAUGCUGCAGGGAGCGCGGCGCGCGCCCGGAGCGCCAAAGACUCCAGGUCCCAGCCCCGCCGCAGACUCCAGAGCGCCCGCGGCCG
rnacentral:lncRNA from 1 species